AAUCAACCGAGAUUCCCUUAGUAGUGGCGAGCGAACGGGGACCAGCCCUUAAGUUGAUUUGAGAUUAGUGGAACGCUCUGGAAAGUGCGGCCAUAGUGGGUGAUAGCCCCGUACACGAAAAUCUCUUGUCAAUGAAAUCGAGUAGGACGGAGCACGAGAAACUUUGUCUGAAUAUGGGGGGACCAUCCUCCAAGGCUAAAUACUACUGACUGACCGAUAGUGAACCAGUACCGUGAGGGAAAGGCGAAAAGAACC
rnacentral:rRNA from 1 species